UUGGUGCCACUUCAACGUUCCCGCAACAUGCUUGAAGGAGGAUACAGGGCAGAGCUGUAUAGAGUUAAGAAGGCAUUUGAUGAAGCAGAAACUUUAUAUUCGGAGGCCAUCAACAUACUGAAGUCCUCAUUUAGUCCUGAAGAUAUACGGUAUGUCAUAAGUAUAUUUGAUUAAUGUAAUAGCAAAAUUCUACA